rnacentral:rRNA from 1 species
AGCAGCAGCCGCGGGAAUACCGAGGGUGCGAGCGUUAAUCGGAUUUACUGGGCGUAAAGCGUGCGUAGGCGGCUUCUUAAGUCGGAUGUGAAAUCCCUGAGCUUAACUUAGGAAUUGCAUUCGAUACUGGGAAGCUAGAGUAUGGGAGAGGAUGGUAGAAUUCCAGGUGUAGCGGUGAAAUGCGUAGAGAUCUGGAGGAAUACCGAUGGCGAAGGCAGCCAUCUGGCCUAAUACUGACGCUGAGGUACGAAAGCAUGGGGAGCAAACAGGAUUAGAUACCCCUGUAGUCCCUGUCUCUUAUAC